UUUCUAUAGCAUAAUGCUAAUGCACCGGAUCCCAUUAGAACUCUGAAGUUAAGCACGCUCAGGCUAGAGUAGUAGUGGGAUGGGUGACCGCCCAGGAAGUCCUACUGUCUUACAUGC
rnacentral:rRNA from 1 species